CACGGCUUCGUUCUUGAAGUCAGCGAGACCAAGAACCCACCAGAAGGAACCAAUUCUGGACACAGGGUGAAAUGGAAUAAGUCUAUGCAAAGUUACCACAAAGACACAAAAAGUGAGAAUUAACACAUUUCAGCUGGAUGAAACUUCUCACCAGAAACAACCAUGAAGAAAAAUAAACAUGUAAGAAAUGAUUCAAAAUGAGUUAAAUAUACUAAAAUCUCAAAUCUGAAGAGCCACUUUGAAUUAGAAAUCUGAAAACUGAAAGCAAAAAUAGAAAAAGCAGAAAAAAAUGAACAGAGUUGAUUGAACUUAGCAAAGAAAUGAUAAAAAGAAGACAAAAUCAUCUCAGAGUGAAGAAGACCGAAAUGGAAGAUAAUAAAGUGAAUUGACGGAACGCAAGAAAAUAAUCUGCAAAUGAAUAUAAGUUAACAAACAUCACAAAGCACCAGCUCCUUUAAUUGAGAAAAGAAGAAAGCACGAUGUACAAAAUAAUGACAAGGGGGACUAACCACUGAAACGGUAUGCAUCUGAGGAGAUGGCGAAGACAUUUUUAACAUCUUUAUCAGGAUCUACUGGGAGCAAGGACAUUACCAACCACAGGAGAUAACUAUAAAGCAUUCCAAAAGUAGCUCCUGUCAUGCCCUGUCCUGGGUUCUGCUAGAGGCACAGUGUUUGACCAUGGAGCAUCAAGUGACCAAGUGACCAGUGCCCCGUCAUGAGCUGCAUCGGGUCACACCCACAAAGACAUAGUUUCAUGCUGUACCUGUUAAGAGGUCCUGGCUUCCAGAAGGAAAUUACUUCCACCAGUGGACAUGGUGGAGGAGAGUGGAGGGGAGUAAGAUUAGAAGCAAGGAUACCAGUAGGAUGCAGUUACAGCAAUCCAGGUGGCUGUGCUACAAUUGUAAUAACAUCAGAUCUGUGCUGGUCUAGGCUGACCAUGGUCUGAGCCACCAGCCAAAAGCCACCAGGAUUGUAUCUGAAUUGAAUGAGUUGGAAUUGACCUUUUGUUAAAUGAGCUGAAUCUCCCGAAAAGAAGAAGCCCAUGAUGGAGAACUGUGGAGUACCAGCAUCUCUGUUGGAGAGUGUUAGAAAGGACUUACUACAGGAGCCUGGGCCUCGUGUGAGCAUAUCCUCAUUCUUCUUGGACGUGGAAUAAGAGCUUGGAAACCACUGAAUGUGGGUACAAGAUACAACACAGGUGGACUGGGGCUCCACACCUGGCCCAGCUGUGGGCUGAGCUGGUGCACAAGCCAGACUUGACUGAGUGCCUCCUGCAACA
rnacentral:lncRNA from 1 species